AUGAGCUGGAAAGGGUCAAAUAAUGGCAAAUUCCAUUCAAAAGCUGCAUAUGAUCUCUUGGAGGAAGAAGCCAGUUGUGAUGAAGAGGCAGAGUGGGAGAGUCUCUGGAAGGGGAAGAUCCCGCCUAAACUAAAGCACUUCUUUUGGCUAGCCAGACAAGACAGAUUGUUAACAAAUAAAGUGCGUCUCACCAGGCACUUAACCACUGAUUGCUCGUGCAAAAGCUGUGGAUUCCCAGUGGAAAACUGCCUACACAUUCUAAGGGACUGCCCUAUGGCAAGGCCAGUGUGGGAGCAACUCAUCCCUCACAACCUUCACCAGCAUUUCUUUGGCCUAAACCUCAAGGAUUGGAUUGAUGCAAAUCUGGGAGGGAGGGUAACCCCCCCAACAGAGGCUAUUACCUGGUUAUCAAUAUUUGCCCAGGCGGCCUGGGCCUUGUGGUCGUGGAGAAACAAUACUCUUUUUGAAACCAGUUUCUCUCGCCCCCCUAAUCCGGUGCAAUAUAUCAUGCUGAAAGCCAGGGAAUGUGAGGAAUGUCUCAAAGUUGAGAGUCUCAAACCACCAAAACAGCAAUGCUUCAUAGCUUGGGCCUUCCCCCCUCUGGGUGGGUCAAGCUUAACACUGAUGGCAGCUCGCGAGGAAACCCAGGUGAAGCAACAGGUGGGGGACUCAUUCGAGAUGAAACAGGCAAAUGGCUAGUGGGCUUUGGCCUAAACAUCGGAAUAUGCUCAGUUACAGCUGCUGAAUUAUGGGCCCUGUACCAUGGCUUGAUGAUAGCAUGGAUGGAGGGCCAUAGGAAGGUGGCUGUCACAGUGGACUCCUCUGCGGUGGUUACCCUAGUUUCGCGGGAACCAGAAAGGACUAACCCACACGCCCCCCUCAUCAGUGCUUGCCUAACUAAAAGAUCCCCUUCUCUAUUGGGUGCCAUCCCGUCACUCGGGUGAAACCUAACUGACUAAAUCUCCGGUGAGGAGAAUGGUUCCUCGCCCGUGACUCACGAUGUCUUUCCGCCUAGAAGUAGAGCAUUUAAGAAACUAUCCGUCAACUAAUCCUCUUUUCCAUGCAUGCCUGUCUAGUUAAUAAUGCGAUCUCUGGAAUUCGCCGGCAGUGAGUAAGUCAACCGAGUCUGAUCUUCUUUCCCCAUCCUCCAUGCCCACUAUUGGUGGAUCGAGAGGGGUAUAGAUAAUGGGCGCGGUUGGUUGAUCAAAACCUUUCUCCCGGGGUGGAUGCGUAUGGAGUGGACUCCCCUCAUCUACUUUAUUGAAUAGCCGGAAAGAGAUGCAGUCGAUUGGUACCUCGAUCUCUAUCUAUGAUGCAGUUCGUGCAAUGCGGUUGAUUACGAUCUCGAUCUAGCGAAUGACCCACCGGCGACCAUUCCCCCUCCAUCUUUUAGAUUACCGAAUUAAAGAACGUCGGUUGUAGCGAUUCCUGCUGGAAGUGGUUAUGGCCGAUCGACCCGAGUAUAAGCAACAAUAGCUAGGGAAAAAUACAGGAGCAGAACCAUUCAUUGGAGAGACAGACCCUGAUCAGUCAGUUGCCCGAGUGGUGACCCGGGACCGCUUUCAGCAGCUGGUAAGCCGCUGCUGUUCUAGAGCCGUGAGAUUCUAUUCUAUAUCUUGUUCUAGAACUUAACAAAAGUUUACCAAGCUUCAGUUCGAGUAGAUUCCGAAAGGGGGGGUUAGUCCUUUUUUCAAUCAUUUCUACAUUACCUUUUUUAGCCUUAUAAGAAGCAAGGAAUGGUGCUAGUCUGAAGGCUAAUAGCUAAAUAUAGAGCUUGAUGUCAUAUCUACCAUAGUUGGUCAAAAGAAAAUGGGAAUAGUUGAUCGAACUUCCGUGAGUUCGUUUUUGGUCAUCCUGCAUUUCUGCAUUUCACCGACCUUCGCAGAUUAGGCUAAUCGUAUUAUGAAAUGAAAGGAAGGAAAAAUGGAUACGCAGUAUUCUAUAAUGAACAUUGUAAGGUUAGAGUUUCUUUAGUAGGCCACAGCAGAUCGAAAAGUCGCUAAUUUCGCUCAGUCAAGUUCUCGUAUGGGUAAGGAUUUGGCCAUUGGCAGUUGA
rnacentral:sRNA from 1 species